rnacentral:rRNA from 1 species
CACGUAGGCACCAAGCGUUGUCCGGAUUUAUUGGGCGUAAAGAGCUCGUAGGCGGUUCGGUAAGUCGGGUGUGAAAACUUGGGGCUUAACCCUGAGCUUGCGGUCGAUACGGGCAUGACUGGAGUUCGGCAGGGGAGACUGGAAUUCCUGGUGUAGCGGUGAAAUGCGCAGAUAUCAGGAGGAACACCGGUGGCGAAGGCGGGUCUCUGGGCCGAUACUGACGCUGAGGAGCGAAAGCGUGGGGAGCGAACAGG